rnacentral:rRNA from 1 species
UGAGGAAUAUUGCACAAUGGGCGCAAGCCUGAUGCAGCGACGCCGCGUGUGGGAUGAAGGGGCUACGCCUCGUAAACCACUGUAGCCCGGGACGAAAAACGCCUUAGAGGCGUUAGACGGUACCGGGAAAGUAAGGGUCGGCUAACUACGUGCCAGCAGCCGCGGUAAUACGUAGGACCCAAGCGUGGUCCGGAUUUAAUGGUUGUAAAGGUGCCGCAGGCGGAUGGGUAAGUCAGGGGGGAAAGUCUGCAGCUUAACUGUAGAAUUGCCUUUGAUACUGCUCAUCUUGAGUGUGGGAGAGGUUGAUGGAAUUCCAGGUGUAGCAGUGAAAUGCGUAGAUAUCUGGAAGAACACCAGUGGCGAAGGCGGUCAACUGGCCCAUAACUGACGCUCAUGCACGAAAGCGUGGGGAGCAAACA